UACAGAGGGUGCGAGCGUUAAUCGGAAUUACUGGGCGUAAAGCGUGCGCAGACGGUCAUGUAAGUCGGGUGUGAAAGCCCCGGGCUCAACCUGGGAAUUGCAUUCGAGACUGCAUGGCUAGGGUGCGGAAGAGGGAAGCGGAAUUUCCGGUGUAGCGGUGAAAUGCGUAGAUAUCGGAAGGAACACCAGUGGCGAAAAGCGGCUUCCUGGUCCAGCACCGACGUCAGGCACGAAAGCGUGGGGAGCAAACAGG
rnacentral:rRNA from 1 species